rnacentral:rRNA from 1 species
CGGCCCCAAGUCAGGCGAGACCACCCGCCGAGUUUAAGCAUAUAAAUAAGCGGAGGAGAAGAAACUUACGAGGAUUCCCCUAGUAACGGCGAGUGAACCGGGAUCAGCCCAGCUUGAGAAUUUGACGGUUGAAUCCGUUCGAGUUGUAGUCUGGAGAAGUGUCCUCAGCGACGGAUCGGGCCCAAGUCCCUUGGAAUGGGGUGCCGGGGAGGGUGAGAGCCCCGUCUGGCUCGGACCAUGCCGCAUGACGAGGCACUGUCGUCGAGUCGGGUUGUUUGGGAAUGCAGCCCCAGUUGGGCGGUAAAUUUCGUCCAAGGCUAAAUAUUGGCGAGAGACCGAUAGCGAACAAGUACCGCGAGGGAAAGAUGAAAAGGACUUUGAAAAGAGAGUCAAAGAGUACUUGAAAUUGCCGCGAGGGAAGCGGAUGGGGGUCGACGGAGUGCUCCGGUCGGAUGCGGAACGGCUCUAGUCGGUCCGUUGCUCGACUUGGGGCAUGGACCGUUGCAGGCUACGCUGGCGGUCCAAGCCCGAACGCAUUGUGCGCGCUCGCGGCAUAUUGCCAGCGUGGUCGAGGAUGCGGCGCGCGCCAUUAUUGGCGUUCCACCCUGUGGCACUUGCACGCUCAAGGCAUCGGCCAGUGGGCUCCCCAUUCGACCCGUCUUGAAACACGGACCAAGGAGUCUGACAUGCAUGCGAGUCGGCGAGUUUGGAAACUCUGACGGCGCAAGGAAGCUGAUUGGCGGGAGCCCCUUUUUGUGGGGGUGCAUCGCCGGCCGACCUAGAUCUUUUGUGAAGGGUUUGUGUUGGAGCAUGCCUGUCGGGACCCGAAAGAUGGUGAACUAUGCC